UACGUAGGGUGCGAGCGUUAAUCGGAAUUACUGGGCGUAAAGCGUGCGCAGGCGGUUUUGUAAGACAGGUGUGAAAUCCCCGGGCUUAACCUGGGAACUGCAUUUGUGACUGCAAGGCUAGAGUGUAGCAGAGGGGGGUAGAAUUCCACGUGUAGCAGUGAAAUGCGUAGAUAUGUGGAGGAAUACCGAUGGCGAAGGCAAUCCCCUGGACCUGUACUGACGCUCAUGCACGAAAGCGUGGGGAGCAAACAGG
rnacentral:rRNA from 1 species